CUAUAUGGAGUUAUUUUUAGGGGAUACCAUCUGGGAGGAGAUUGCUUCACAGACUAAUCUAUAUGCUACCCAAUUUAUUAAUACCAAUCCGGGUAGCUAUGCAGUCAGGGAACAUGCUUGACAUCCCACAGAUGUCCCGGAGCUGAAAAAAUUCUUGGCUCUUACUAUGCUCAUGAGGAUUAUAAAGAAGCCAUCAAUUCGCUCUUACUGGAGCACCAACCCUAUCUGUUCUAGUCCAGUGUGCUCCCCAACCAUGUCUAGAGCAAGAUAUGAGUUGCUACUCCGCUUUUUACACUUUAAUGACAAUACCCUCUGUCAUCCCAGAGAUCAGCCCCAAUAUGAUAGGCUUUAUAAAAUAUGCCCACUGAUAGGCCAUCAACAAAAUACAUUUUCUGAAGUUUAUACCCCCCAACAAAAUGUAUCUAUUGACGAAUCCUUUAUUAAAU